rnacentral:rRNA from 1 species
GACAGAGGGUGCAAACGUUGUUCGGAAUUACUGGGCGUAAAGCGCACGUAGGCGGCUUGGUAUGUCGGGUGUGAAAUCCCCGGGCUCAACCUGGGAACUGCAUCCGAAACUGCCUUGCUCGAGUAUGGGAGAGGGAAGUGGAAUUUCCGGUGUAGCGGUGAAAUGCGUAGAUAUCGGAAGGAACAUCAGUGGCGAAGGCGACUUCCUGGACCAAUACUGACGCUCAGGUGCGAAAGCGUGGGGAGCAAACAGG